rnacentral:rRNA from 1 species
UACGAAGGGGGCUAGCGUUGCUCGGAAUCACUGGGCGUAAAGGGCGCGUAGGCGGAUCUUUAAGUCGGGGGUGAAAGCCCAGGGCUCAACCCUGGAAUUGCCUUCGAUACUGAAGAUCUCGAGACCGGAAGAGGUAAGUGGAACUGCGAGUGUAGAGGUGAAAUUCGUAGAUAUUCGCAAGAACACCAGUGGCGAAGGUGGCUUACUGGUCCGGUUCUGACGCUGAGGCGCGAAAGCGUGGGGAGCAAACAGG